rnacentral:rRNA from 1 species
GAUGAACGCUAGCUACAGGCUUAACACAUGGAAGUCGAGGGGUAACGAGGAGAGAGCUUGCUUUUUCCGUCGACGACCGGCGCACGGGUGAGUAACGCGUAUCCAACCUACCUUCAGCUAAGGAACAGCCCGUCGAAAGGCGGAUUAAUACCUUAUGUUGUUUCAUGAUGCCAUCAGAAAGAAACGAAAGAUUUAUCGGCUGAGGAUGGGGAUGCGUCUGAUUAGAUUGUUGGCGGGGCAACGGCCCACCAAGUCAUCGAUCAGUAGGGGUUCUGAGAGGAAGGUCCCCAACAUUGGAACUGAGAGACGGUACAAACUCCUACGGGAGGCAGCAGUGAGGAAUAGUGGUCAAUGGGCGAGGGCCUGAACCAGCCAAGUAGCGUGCAGGAUGACGGCCCUAUGGGUUGUAAACUGCUUUUACACGGGGAUAAAGUGGUCGACGUGUCGUCCAUUGCAGGUACCGUGCGAAUAAGGACCGGCUAAUUCCGUGCCAGCAGCCGCAGUAACAC